GACGAACGCUGGCGGCGUGCUUAACACAUGCAAGUCGAACGAAGAGCGAUGGAAGCUUGCUUCUAUCAAUCUUAGUGGCGAACGGGUGAGUAACGCGUAAUCAACCUGCCCUUCAGAGGGGGACAACAGUUGGAAACGACUGCUAAUACCGCAUACGAUCUAACCUCGGCAUCGAGGAAAGAUGAAAGGUGGCCUCUAUGUAUAAGCUAUCACUGAAGGAGGGGAUUGCGUCUGAUUAGCUAGUUGGAGGGGUAACGGCCCACCAAGGCGAUGAUCAGUAGCCGGUCUGAGAGGAUGAACGGCCACAUUGGGACUGAGACACGGCCCAGACUCCUACGGGAGGCAGCAGUGGGGAAUCUUCCGCAAUGGACGAAAGUCUGACGGAGCAACGCCGCGGGAGUGAGGACGGCCGUCGGGUUGUAAAGCUCGGUUAAUCGGGACGAAAGGCCUUCUUGCGAAUAGGGAGAAGGAUUGACGGUACCGGAAUAGAAAGCCACGGCUAACUACGUG
rnacentral:rRNA from 1 species